rnacentral:rRNA from 1 species
GAUGAACGCUAGCGACAGGCCUAACACAUGCAAGUCGAGGGGCAGCACAAGGUAGCAAUACUGAGGUGGCGACCGGCGCACGGGUGAGUAACGCGUAUGCAACCUGCCUGUAACAGGGGAAUAGCCUCUUGAAAGAGAGAUUAAUGCCGCAUAAUACGAGAUUCGGGCAUCCGGAUUUAGUUAAACAUUUAUGGGUUACAGAUGGGCAUGCGUUUCAUUAGGUAGUUGGUGAGGUAACGGCUCACCAAGCCGACGAUGAAUAGGGGUUCUGAGAGGAAGGUCCCCCACACUGGUACUGAGACACGGACCAGACUCCUACGGGAGGCAGCAGUGAGGAAUAUUGGUCAAUGGACGCAAGUCUGAACCAGCCAAGUCGCGUGAAGGAUGAAGGUAUUAUGUAUUGUAAACUUCUUUUGUCAGGGAAUAAUGGGUGUCACGUGUGACGCAGAGGAAUGUACCUGACGAAUAAGCAUCGGCUAACUCCGUGCCAGCAGCCGCGGUAAUACGGAGGAUGCGAGCGUUAUCCGGAUUUAUUGGGUUUAAAGGGUGCGUAGGCGGUUUGUUAAGUCAGUGGUGAAAGUUUGCGGCUCAACCGUAAAAUUGCCAUUGAAACUGGCGAACUUGAGUACAGUAGAGGUAGGCGGAAUUCGUGGUGUAGCGGUGAAAUGCUUAGAUAUCACGAAGAACUCCAAUUGCGAAGGCAGCUUGCUGGACUGUAACUGACGCUGAGGCACGAAAGCGUGGGGAUCAAACAGG